rnacentral:misc_RNA from 1 species
AGGGAUCAUUACCGAGUUUACAACUCCCAAACCCCUGUGAACAUACCACUUGUUGCCUCGGCGGAUCAGCCCGCUCCCGGUAAAACGGGACGGCCCGCCAGAGGACCCCUAAACUCUGUUUCUAUAUGUAACUUCUGAGUAAAACCAUAAAUAAAUCAAAACUUUCAACAACGGAUCUCUUGGUUCUG